AACGAACGCUGGCGGCAUGCCUAACACAUGCAAGUCGAACGAGAUCCUUCGGGGUCUAGUGGCGCACGGGUGCGUAACGCGUGGGAAUCUGCCCUUAGGUUCGGAAUAACAGUUAGAAAUGACCGCUAAUACCGGAUGAUGACGUUAAGUCCAAAGAUUUAUCGCCUGAGGAUGAGCCCGCGUAGGAUUAGCUAGUUGGUGUGGUAAAGGCGCACCAAGGCGACGAUCCUUAGCUGGUCUGAGAGGAUGAUCAGCCACACUGGGACUGAGACACGGCCCAGACUCCUACGGGAGGCAGCAGUGGGGAAUAUUGGACAAUGGGCGCAAGCCUGAUCCAGCAAUGCCGCGUGAGUGAUGAAGGCCUUAGGGUUGUAAAGCUCUUUUACCCGGGAUGAUAAUGACAGUACCGGGAGAAUAAGCCCCGGCUAACUCCGUG
rnacentral:rRNA from 1 species